UACGUAGGGUGCAAGCGUUAAUCGGAAUUACUGGGCGUAAAGCGUGCGCAGGCGGUUUUGUAAGUUUGUCGUGAAAGCCCCGGGCUCAACCUGGGAAUUGCGAUGAAGACUGCAAGGCUUGAAUCUGGCAGAGGGGGGUAGAAUUCCACGUGUAGCAGUGAAAUGCGUAGGAGAUGUGGAGGAACACCGAUGGACGGAAGGCAGCCCCCUGGGUCAAGAUUGACGCUCAUGCACGAAAGCGUGGGGAGCAAACAGGA
rnacentral:rRNA from 1 species